ANGCAGUCGACGAUGAANGCCCAGCUUGCUGGGUGGAUUAGUGGCGAACGGGNNNGUAACACGUGAGUAACCUGCCCUUGACUCUGGGAUAAGCGCUGGAAACGGCGUCUAAUACCGGAUACGACCUGCCCCGGCAUCGGGUGCGGGUGGAAAGUUUUUCGGUCAAGGAUGGACUCGCGGCCUAUCAGGUAGUUGGUGAGGUAAUGGCUCACCAAGCCGACGACGGGUAGCCGGCCUGAGAGGGUGACCGGCCACACUGGGACUGAGACACGGCCCAGACUCCUACGGGAGGCAGCAGUGGGGAAUAUUGCACAAUGGGCGAAAGCCUGAUGCAGCAACGCCGCGUGGGGGAUGACGGCCUUCGGGUUGUAAACCUCUUUUAGUAGGGAAGAAGGGCUUCGGCUUGACGGUACCUGCAGAAAAAGCACCGGCUAACUACGUGCCAGCAGCCGCGGUAAUACGUAGGGUGCAAGCGUUGUCCGGAAUUAUUGGGCGUAAAGAGCUCGUAGGCGGUUUGUCGCGUCUGCUGUGAAAACCCGAGGCUCAACCUCGGGCCUGCAGUGGGUACGGGCAGACUAGAGUGCGGUAGGGGAGAAUGGAAUUCCUGGUGUAGCGGUGGAAUGCGCAGAUAUCAGGAGGAACACCGAUGGCGAAGGCAGUUCUCUGGGCCGUUACUGACGCUGAGGAGCGAAAGCGUGGGGAGCGAACAGGAUUAGAUACCCUGGUAGUCCACGCCGUANACGUUGGGAACUAGAUGUGGGGACCUUUCCACGGUCUCCGUGUCGCAGCUAACGCAUUAAGUUCNCCGCCUGGGGAGUACGGCCGCAAGGCUAANACUCAAAGGAAUUGACGGGGGCCCGCACAAGCGGCGGAGCAUGCGGAUUAAUUCNAUGCANCGCGAAGAACNUUACCAAGGCUUGACNUAUACCGGANACUUCCAGAAAUGGUUGCCNNGCAAGGUCNGNAUACAGGUGGUGCAUGNUUGUCGUCAGCUNNNGUCG
rnacentral:rRNA from 1 species